rnacentral:rRNA from 1 species
CCUACGGGAGGCAGCAGUGAGGAAUAUUGGUCAAUGGCCGGAAGGCUGAACCAGCCAUGCCGCGUGAAGGUCAGUGCCCUAUGGGCGUUAAACUUCUUUUGUGCGGGAGCAAUAAUGGUCACGUGUGGCCAGACGAGAGUACCGUACGAAUAAGCAUUGGCUAACUCCGUGCCAGCAGCCGCGGUAAUACGGGGGAUGCAAGCGUUAUCCGGAGUUAUUGGGGUUAAAGGGUGCGUAGGCUGUGAGGUAAGUCAGCGGUGAAAUGCCCCCGCUCAACGGGGUGAAGUGCCAUUGAUACUGCCUUGCUGGAAUGCGGAUGCCGUGGGAGGAAUGUGUGGUGUAGCGGUGAAAUGCAUAGAUAUCACACAGAACACCGAUUGCGAAGGCAUCUCACGAAUCCGCGAUUGACGCUGAUGCACGAAAGCGUGGGUAUCAAACAGGAUUAGAUACCCCGGUAGUC